AUGGUGGUCCAGUCUUUGAAAGGCUUUAGAGAAGGACUCUGUCAGCCUGGAUAAUUAGAUAGCUGUGUGAGAGAGUUUUAAAUGUGAAAUACAGACUUCCUCUGUGCACAGCCUAGAGGAUAUUUGCAUGGACUGAAAGACAGACCACAAAAAAGGAGCCAAAAUGAUGAAUGGAACACAACUGAGAGGGGGGCAUUCAUUGAAGAGUGAAACUUAUUAUCAGCUGACAACAAUAAAUAUUAUUACAGGGUAGAAUAAUUCUCAAUGAUUCCAUUAUUACCUUCACUGCUUGAUAAACAAGAAAAGCUUCAUUUUUGCACAGGCACAUCAAGUAAGAAAACAGUUGUACUUUGAAGACUUGAAUUGCAAAAUGUAACUUUGUUGUAAGAUUUAUUGUAAUGGCUUAGUAGUAUUAGUUUUCUGCACUUUAAUGUUUUAAGUUACAAAUAAAUGAUAACAUUAUGAGAUGAUAUAUCUAAUGACCGCAUGAUCCAUCUGAGUAAAUGCUUAUAAUUCUUUAUGCCAG